rnacentral:tmRNA from 1 species
GCUGGUUCAGGCAUCCAGCCUGAAGGAGGCCGGAAUCAGCGAUAUAUAAAUUUCAGGACAAGUAUGUAGAUGCCUGUGCGGAAGAUUUUCGGACGCGGGUUCAACUCCCGCCGCCUCCACCA